AUCUUAUUAAUAUAUUUGUAUAUUUGGCUUCCAACCAAAAUGUUUAAGAAAAUCUUAAAUAAGAUA
rnacentral:tRNA from 1 species